UACGAAGGGGGCUAGCGUUGUUCGGAAUUACUAGGCGUAAAGGGCGCGUAGGCGGUGUGUCAAGUCAGGCGUGAAAGCCCCGGGCUCAACCUGGGAACCGCGCUUGAGACUGGCACGCUCGAGUUCGGGAGAGGAUGGUGGAAUUCCCAGUGUAGAGGUGAAAUUCGUAGAUAUUGGGAAGAACACCGAUGGCGAAGGCAGCCAUCUGGACCGACACUGACGCUGAGGCGCGAAAGCGUGGGGAGCAAACAGGG
rnacentral:rRNA from 1 species